UAGUUGUGAUGAGGACAAUCUCUGAGCAGCCCCUUUAAUCUCUCCUGAGCUGAAUAUAGAGACUCCCCCGAUUUCUGUUUAAAGGCGACUAUCUCACUUCUGAUCUU
rnacentral:snoRNA from 1 species